UUUCCGUAGGCGAACCUGCGGAAGGAUCAUUAUUGUAUAACCGAGGUGCGAGGGCUGUCGCUGACCCGAAAGGUCGUGCACGCCCGAGUGCCCUCACACGCAUCCAUCUCACCCCUAUGUGCACCACCGCGUGGGUCCCCCUUUGGCUUGUUCGGAGGGGGGCUUACGUUUUCACACAAACUUUGUAUGCAGUGUAGAAUGUAUUUUUUGUUUUUGCGAUCACGCAAUCAAUACAACUUUCAACAACGGAUCUCUUGGCUCUC
rnacentral:misc_RNA from 1 species